UACGAAGGGGGCUAGCGUUGCUCGGAAUCACUGGGCGUAAAGCGCACGUAGGCGGCUUUCUAAGUCAGGGGUGAAAUCCUGGAGCUCAACUCCAGAACUGCCUUUGAUACUGGAGAGCUUGAGUCCGGGAGAGGUGAGUGGAACUCCGAGUGUAGAGGUGAAAUUCGUAGAUAUUCGGAAGAACACCAGUGGCGAAGGCGGCUCACUGGCCCGGUACUGACGCUGAUGUGCGAAAGCGUGGGGAGCGAACAGG
rnacentral:rRNA from 1 species